GCCCAGACUCCUACGGGAGGCAGCAGUGGGGAAUAUUGCACAAUGGGGGAAACCCUGAUGCAGCGACGCCGCGUGAGUGAAGAAGUAUUUCGGUAUGUAAAGCUCUAUCAGCAGGGAAGAAAAUGACGGUACCUGACUAAGAAGCCCCGGCUAACUACGUGCCAGCAGCCGCGGUAAUACGUAGGGGGCAAGCGUUAUCCGGAUUUACUGGGUGUAAAGGGAGCGUAGACGGCGAUGCAAGCCAGAUGUGAAAGCCCGGGGCUCAACCCCGGGACUGCAUUUGGAACUGUGUGGCUGGAGUGUCGGAGAGGCAGGCGGAAUUCCUAGUGUAGCGGUGAAAUGCGUAGAUAUUAGGAGGAACACCAGUGGCGAAGGCGGCCUGCUGGACGAUGACUGACGUUGAGGCUCGAAAGCGUGGGGAGCAAACAGGAUUAGAUACCCCCGUAAAC
rnacentral:rRNA from 1 species